rnacentral:rRNA from 1 species
CCUACGGGUGACAGCAGUGAGGAAUAUUGGUCAAUGGGCGCGAGCCUGAACCAGCCAAGUCGCGUGAGGGAAGACGGUCCUAUGGAUUGUAAACCUCUUUUGUCGGGGAGCAAAAGACGCCACGCGUGGCGUUCCGAGAGUACCCGAAGAAAAAGCAUCGGCUAACUCCGUGCCAGCAGCCGCGGUAAUACGUAUGGUGCAAGCGUUAUCCGGAUUUACUGGGUGUAAAGGGAGCGCGGGCGGCGCGUUAAGCCUGGUGUGAAAGCCCGGGGCCCAACCGCGGGACUGCAUUGGGAACUGGCGGGCGUGGAGGCCGGAGGGGUAGGGAGAAUUCCUAGUGUAGCGGUGAAAUGCGGAGAUAGUAGGAGGAACACCAGUGGCGAAGGCGGCCUACUGGACGGUGACUGACGCUGAGGCUCGAAAGCGUGGGGAGCAAACAGGAUUAGAUACCCCAGUAGUC